UACGGGGGGGGCAAGCGUUGUUCGGAAUUACUGGGCGUAAAGGGCGCGUAGGCGGCCUUCUAAGUCAGACGUGAAAUCCCUCGGCUCAACCGAGGAACUGCGUCUGAUACUGGAAGGCUUGAAUCCGGGAGAGGGAUGUGGAAUUCCAGGUGUAGCGGUGAAAUGCGUAGAUAUCUGGAGGAACACCGGUGGCGAAGGCGGCUUUCUGGACGACUACUGACGCUGAGACGCGAAAGCGUGGGGAGCAAACAGG
rnacentral:rRNA from 1 species